rnacentral:rRNA from 1 species
UUAAGCGACUAAGCGUACACGGUGGAUGCCCUGGCAGUCAGAGGCGAUGAAGGACGUGCUAAUCUGCGAUAAGCGUCGGUAAGGUGAUAUGAACCGUUAUAACCGGCGAUUUCCGAAUGGGGAAACCCAGUGUGUUUCGACACACUAUCAUUAACUGAAUCCAUAGGUUAAUGAGGCGAACCGGGGGAACUGAAACAUCUAAGUACCCCGAGGAAAAGAAAUCAACCGAGAUUCCCCCAGUAGCGGCGAGCGAACGGGGAGCAGCCCAGAGCCUGAAUCAGUAUGUGUGUUAGUGGAAGCGUCUGGAAAGGCGCGCGAUACAGGGUGACAGCCCCGUACACAAAAAUGCACAUGCUGUGAGCUCGAUGAGUAGGGCGGGACACGUGGUAUCCUGUCUGAAUAUGGGGGGACCAUCCUCCAAGGCUAAAUACUCCUGACUGACCGAUAGUGAACCAGUACCGUGAGGGAAAGGCGAAAAGAACCCCGGCGAGGGGAGUGAAAAAGAACCUGAAACCGUGUACGUACAAGCAGUGGGAGCACGCUUAGGCGUGUGACUGCGUACCUUUUGUAUAAUGGGUCAGCGACUUAUAUUCUGUAGCAAGGUUAACCGAAUAGGGGAGCCGAAGGGAAACCGAGUCUUAACUGGGCGUUAAGUUGCAGGGUAUAGACCCGAAACCCGGUGAUCUAGCCAUGGGCAGGUUGAAGGUUGGGUAACACUAACUGGAGGACCGAACCGACUAAUGUUGAAAAAUUAGCGGAUGACUUGUGGCUGGGGGUGAAAGGCCAAUCAAACCGGGAGAUAGCUGGUUCUCCCCGAAAGCUAUUUAGGUAGCGCCUCGUGAAUUCAUCUCCGGGGGUAGAGCACUGUUUCGGCAAGGGGGUCAUCCCGACUUACCAACCCGAUGCAAACUGCGAAUACCGGAGAAUGUUAUCACGGGAGACACACGGCGGGUGCUAACGUCCGUCGUGAAGAGGGAAACAACCCAGACCGCCAGCUAAGGUCCCAAAGUCAUGGUUAAGUGGGAAACGAUGUGGGAAGGCCCAGACAGCCAGGAUGUUGGCUUAGAAGCAGCCAUCAUUUAAAGAAAGCGUAAUAGCUCACUGGUCGAGUCGGCCUGCGCGGAAGAUGUAACGGGGCUAAACCAUGCACCGAAGCUGCGGCAGCGACGCUGAUGCGUUGUUGGGUAGGGGAGCGUUCUGUAAGCCUGCGAAGGUGUGCUGUGAGGCAUGCUGGAGGUAUCAGAAGUGCGAAUGCUGACAUAAGUAACGAUAAAGCGGGUGAAAAGCCCGCUCGCCGGAAGACCAAGGGUUCCUGUCCAACGUUAAUCGGGGCAGGGUGAGUCGACCCCUAAGGCGAGGCCGAAAGGCGUAGUCGAUGGGAAACAGGUUAAUAUUCCUGUACUUGGUGUUACUGCGAAGGGGGGACGGAGAAGGCUAUGUUGGCCGGGCGACGGUUGUCCCGGUUUAAGCGUGUAGGCUGGUUUUCCAGGCAAAUCCGGAAAAUCAAGGCUGAGGCGUGAUGACGAGGCACUACGGUGCUGAAGCAACAAAUGCCCUGCUUCCAGGAAAAGCCUCUAAGCAUCAGGUAACAUCAAAUCGUACCCCAAACCGACACAGGUGGUCAGGUAGAGAAUACCAAGGCGCUUGAGAGAACUCGGGUGAAGGAACUAGGCAAAAUGGUGCCGUAACUUCGGGAGAAGGCACGCUGAUAUGUAGGUGAAGUCCCUCGCGGAUGGAGCUGAAAUCAGUCGAAGAUACCAGCUGGCUGCAACUGUUUAUUAAAAACACAGCACUGUGCAAACACGAAAGUGGACGUAUACGGUGUGACGCCUGCCCGGUGCCGGAAGGUUAAUUGAUGGGGUUAGCGCAAGCGAAGCUCUUGAUCGAAGCCCCGGUAAACGGCGGCCGUAACUAUAACGGUCCUAAGGUAGCGAAAUUCCUUGUCGGGUAAGUUCCGACCUGCACGAAUGGCGUAAUGAUGGCCAGGCUGUCUCCACCCGAGACUCAGUGAAAUUGAACUCGCUGUGAAGAUGCAGUGUACCCGCGGCAAGACGGAAAGACCCCGUGAACCUUUACUAUAGCUUGACACUGAACAUUGAGCCUUGAUGUGUAGGAUAGGUGGGAGGCUUUGAAGUGUGGACGCCAGUCUGCAUGGAGCCGACCUUGAAAUACCACCCUUUAAUGUUUGAUGUUCUAACGUUGACCCGUAAUCCGGGUUGCGGACAGUGUCUGGUGGGUAGUUUGACUGGGGCGGUCUCCUCCUAAAGAGUAACGGAGGAGCACGAAGGUUGGCUAAUCCUGGUCGGACAUCAGGAGGUUAGUGCAAUGGCAUAAGCCAGCUUGACUGCGAGCGUGACGGCGCGAGCAGGUGCGAAAGCAGGUCAUAGUGAUCCGGUGGUUCUGAAUGGAAGGGCCAUCGCUCAACGGAUAAAAGGUACUCCGGGGAUAACAGGCUGAUACCGCCCAAGAGUUCAUAUCGACGGCGGUGUUUGGCACCUCGAUGUCGGCUCAUCACAUCCUGGGGCUGAAGUAGGUCCCAAGGGUAUGGCUGUUCGCCAUUUAAAGUGGUACGCGAGCUGGGUUUAGAACGUCGUGAGACAGUUCGGUCCCUAUCUGCCGUGGGCGCUGGAGAACUGAGGGGGGCUGCUCCUAGUACGAGAGGACCGGAGUGGACGCAUCACUGGUGUUCGGGUUGUCAUGCCAAUGGCACUGCCCGGUAGCUAAAUGCGGAAGAGAUAAGUGCUGAAAGCAUCUAAGCACGAAACUUGCCCCGAGAUGAGUUCUCCCUGACUCCUUGAGAGUCCUGAAGGAACGUUGAAGACGACGACGUUGAUAGGCCGGGUGUGUAAGCGCAGCGAUGCGUUGAGCUAACCGGUACUAAUGAACCGUGAGGCUUAACCU